rnacentral:misc_RNA from 1 species
UCAAACUUGGUCAUUUAGAGGAAGUAAAAGUCGUAACAAGGUUUCCGUAGGUGAACCUGCGGAAGGAUCAUUAAAGAUUCUGGCAUUCGUGCCUAACCUCUUCAGCUGUGCGCUUCGGCUGCACGCUGUUGAACAUCCCACACCUGUGCACUUCUUCGGUUGCGGUCCCAUGUUGGAUCGCUUCCGCCUUUUACAUUCAACUACAAGUCUUGUAUGUCUAAUACUAUAAAGUAACAACUUUCAACAACGGAUCUCUUGGCUCUCGCAUCGAUGAAGAACGCAGC